UUGCGCUGUUUUGUCUGUUGAAACGGCCUGGUAAGUCCGGUGCAUAUGACCCUGACCAGUCACAUUUUCAUAGCACCAUCUCAUUCAGGAAAGCUUGUAGGACUCGAUUAUUCACUUACCAAGAGCUGGAGGAAGCCACUAAAGGAUUUGAAGAUUGUCAGAAACUUGUGCAUGGUAGGAAUGGAACCAUAUAUGCAGGGGUCCUUGGAGAUGGUUCACAUGUAGCUGUGCACAAGGUACAGUGCCAAGAUCAAAGAGAUCUAAUGCAGGUCCUAUCCAGGAUUGAGGUUUUAUCUGCAGUUUCACACAGGAAUAUGGCACGUCUCCUUGGAUGUUGUAUCGACUCUGGCUACACUCCACUGGUGGUCCAUGAGUAUCCUGCAAAUGGUACCCUUGAGGAACAUUUGCACCAAAGUAGAGGACUAGAAAAAAUGGGCCUUGAUUGGUACAAGAGAAUGAACAUUGCCGCUGAAAUUGCAUGUGUCUUAGCCUUCCUGCAGUAUGAAAUAUUUCCUCCUAUCUUUCAUCAUAAUAUCAAAUCCGGCUGCAUAUUUUUAGAUGAAGAUCAGUCGGUUAGAAUUGCAGGGUUCAGGCUACUUGAAUCAUCAAGCCUUACAAAUGAAUCUUAUUCAAAUAAUAGAAGUGAUGUUUCUGACUUUGGUGUGGUGCUGCUAGAGUUAAUUACAGGUUCCAAGAACAAAGACCUCCCAGCUGCAGCAUUGCAGAAAAUCAGGAGUGGAAAGCUGGCAGAAAUUGCGGAUCCAGGUCUCUAUUAUCAUGAGCAACCUCCAUUUCGCAGAGAGCAAAUAGAGAUAGUUGCAGACAUAGCUACCAGAUGUCUGCUGUUCGGUGGAGAUGGCAAAAUUGGGAUGGUAGAAGUUGCUAGGGAGCUUGUGCACAUUACAAAAGAGAGCAUUGAUGGAAAUGGUAGUAAGCGGGGG
rnacentral:misc_RNA from 1 species